rnacentral:rRNA from 1 species
CGCGCAGGCGGUCGAUCAAGUCGAGUGUGAAAGCCCCCGGCUCAACUGGGGAGGGUCAUUCGAUACUGAUCGACUCGAAGGCAGGAGAGGGUAGUGGAAUUCCCGGUGUAGUGGUGAAAUGCGUAGAUAUCGGGAGGAACACCAGUGGCGAAGGCGACUACCUGGCCUGUCCUUGACGCUGAGGCGCGAAAGCUAGGGAGCAAACG